GGCAAAGUUAAUAAGGGCGCACGGUGGAUGCCUUGGCACUAAGAGCCGAUGAAGGACGUGACUAACGACGAUAUUCUAGGGGGAGCAGUAAGUACGCAUUGAUCCCUAGGUCUCCGAAUGGGGAAACCCAGCUGCUACUAGCAGUUAUUCAUGAGUGAAUACAUAGCUCAUGUAAAGGUAACGCAGAGAACUGAAACAUCUAAGUACCUGCAGGAAGAGAAAGUAAAAACGAUUUCGUAAGUAGCGGCGAGCGAACGCGAAGAAGGGCAAACCAAGAAGCUUGCUUCUUGGGGUUGUAGGACUGCAACGUGGACUUAAGCAUUAUAGUCGAAUAACCUGGGAAGGUUAAUCAAAGAGGGUAAUAAUCCCGUAGACGAAAUAGCGCUUAUACCUAGCAGUAUCCUGAGUAGGGCUGGACACGCGAAAUCCAGUUUGAAUCCGGGAGGACCAUCUCCCAACCCUAAAUACUCCUUAGUGACCGAUAGUGAACCAGUACCGUGAGGGAAAGGUGAAAAGAACCCCGAGAGGGGAGUGAAAUAGCACCUGAAACCGUGUGCCUACAAGAAGUUCGAGCCCGUUAAUGGGUGAGAGCGUGCCUUUUGUAGAAUGAACCGGCGAGUUACGUUAUGAUGCGAGGUUAAGUUGAAGAGACGGAGCCGUAGGGAAACCGAGUCUGAAUAGGGCGACUUAGUAUCAUGAUGUAGACCCGAAACCUAGUGACCUAUCCAUGAGCAGGGUGAAGGUGUGGUAAGACGCACUGGAGGCCCGAACCAGGACACGUUGAAAAGUGUUUGGAUGACUUGUGGAUAGCGGAGAAAUUCCAAACGAACUGGGAGAUAGCUGGUUCUCUCCGAAAUAGCUUUAGGGCUAGCGUCGAAAUGUAAGUGUAUUGGAGGUAGAGCACUGUUUGGGUGAGGGGUCCGUCUAGGAUUACCAAUCUCAGAUAAACUCCGAAUGCUAAUACACAUGUUCGGCAGUCAGACUGCGAGUGCUAAGAUCCGUAGUCGAAAGGGAAACAGCCCAGACCAACAGCUAAGGUCCCAAAAUAUAUGUUAAGUGGAAAAGGAUGUGGGGUUGCACAGACAACUAGGAUGUUAGCUCAGAAGCAGCUAUCAUUCAAAGAGUGCGUAAUAGCUCACUAGUCGAGUGACCCUGCGCCGAAAAUGUACCGGGGCUAAACAUAUUACCGAAGCUUUGGAUUGAUAUUUUAUCAAUGGUAGGAGAGCGUUCUUAACCGCGAUGAAGGUAUACCGUGAGGAGUGCUGGAGCGUUAAGAAGUGAGAAUGCCGGUAUGAGUAGCGCAAGAUAAGUGAGAAUCUUAUCCACCGUAAGACUAAGGUUUCCAGGGGAAGGCUCGUCCGCCCUGGGUUAGUCGGGACCUAAGGCGAGGCCGAAAGGCGUAGUCGAUGGACAACUGGUUGAUAUUCCAGUACUAGAUAUGAUCGUGAUGGAGGGACGCAGUAGGCUAAGAGAUGCCAGUUAAUGGAUUCUGGUCUAAGCAGUGAGGUGUGAGAUGUGUCAAAUGCAUUUCUCUUUAACAUUGAGCUGUGAUGGGGAAGCAACUACGGUUGCGAACUCUCUGAUGUCACACUGCCAAGAAAAGUUNNNNNNNNNNNNNNNNNNNNNNNNNNNNNNNNNNNNNNNNNNNNNNNNNNNNNNNNNNNNNNNNNNNNNNNNNNNNNNNNNNNNNNNNNNNNNNNAGCUUCUAGCGUAAAGUCAUAUCUACCCGUACCGCAAACCGACACAGGUAGUCGAGGCGAGUAGCCUCAGGUGAUCGAGAGAACUCUCGUUAAGGAACUCGGCAAAAUAGCCCCGUAACUUCGGGAGAAGGGGUGCUGGUGUAAAAGCCAGCCGCAGUGAAUAGGCCCAAGCAACUGUUUAUCAAAAACACAGCUCUCUGCUAAACCGCAAGGUGAUGUAUAGGGGGUGACGCCUGCCCGGUGCUGGAAGGUUAAGAGGAGUGCUUAGACGUAAGUCGAAGGUAUGAAUUGAAGCCCCAGUAAACGGCGGCCGUAACUAUAACGGUCCUAAGGUAGCGAAAUUCCUUGUCGGGUAAGUUCCGACCCGCACGAAAGGCGUAAUGAUUUGGGCACUGUCUCAACGAGAGACUCGGUGAAAUUUUAGUACCUGUGAAGAUGCAGGUUACCCGCGACAGGACGGAAAGACCCCAUGGAGCUUUACUGUAGUUUGAUAUUGAGUACCUGUAAGUCAUGUACAGGAUAGGUAGGAGCCAUUGAAAUAGGGACGCUAGUUUCUAUUGAGGCGUUGUUGGGAUACUACCCUUGACUUAUGGUUACUCUAACCCGCUGGCAUAAUCGGCCAGGGAGACAGUGUCUGACGGACAGUUUGACUGGGGCGGUCGCCUCCUAAAGAGUAACGGAGGCGCUCAAAGGUUGGCUCAGAUUGGUUGGAAAUCAAUCGUAGAGUGUAAAGGUAAAAGCCAGCUUGACUGCGAGAGCUACAACUCGAGCAGGUAGGAAACUAGGACUUAGUGAUCCGGUGGUACCGCAUGGAAGGGCCAUCGCUCAACGGAUAAAAGCUACCCUGGGGAUAACAGGCUUAUCUCCCCCAAGAGUUCACAUCGACGGGGAGGUUUGGCACCUCGAUGUCGGCUCGUCGCAUCCUGGGGCUGUAGUCGGUCCCAAGGGUUGGGCUGUUCGCCCAUUAAAGCGGCACGCGAGCUGGGUUCAGAACGUCGUGAGACAGUUCGGUCCCUAUCCGUCGCGGGCGUAGGUAAUUUGAGAGGAUCUGUCCUUAGUACGAGAGGACCGGGAUGGACUUACCGCUGGUGUACCAGUUGUUCCGCCAGGAGCACGGCUGGAUAGCUAUGUAGGGAAGGGAUAAGCGCUGAAAGCAUCUAAGUGCGAAGCCCACCUCAAGAUGAGAUUACCCAUUCGUAAGAAUUAAGAGCCCAGAGAGAUGAUCUGGUAGAUAGGCUGGAAGUGGAAGAGUUGCGAGACUUGGAGCGGACCAGUACUAAUCGCUCGAGGACUUUACCAA
rnacentral:rRNA from 1 species